rnacentral:rRNA from 1 species
UUUCCUAGGGAGGCAGCAGUGAGGAAUAUUGGUCAAUGGGCGGGAGCCUGAACCAGCCAAGUCGCGUGAGGGAAGAAGGUACUGAGUAUUGUAAACCUCUUUUGCCAGGGGACAAAGGCGGCCACGGGUGGCCGUAAGAGGGUACCUGGAGAAAAAGCAUCGGCUAACUCCGUGCCAGCAGCCGCGGUAAUACGGAGGAUGCGAGCGUUAUCCGGAUUUAUUGGGUUUAAAGGGUGCGUAGGCGGAAUGCCAAGUCAGCGGUAAAAUCGCGGGGCUCAACCUCGCUCCGCCGUUGAAACUGGCGU